CCUACGGGAGGCAGCAGUGAGGAAUAUUGGUCAAUGGGCGGGAGCCUGAACCAGCCAAGUCGCGUGAGGGAAGAAGGUACUGAGUAUUGUAAACCUCUUUUGCCAGGGGACAAAGGCGGCCACGGGUGGCCGUAAGAGGGUACCUGGAGAAAAAGCAUCGGCUAACUCCGUGCCAGCAGCCGCGGUAAUACGGAGGAUGCGAGCGUUAUCCGGAUUUACUGGGUGUAAAGGGCGUGCAGCCGGGAAGACAAGUCAGAUGUGAAAUCCCGCGGCUCAACCGCGGAACUGCAUUUGAAACUGUUUUUCUUGAGUACCGGAGAGGUCAUCGGAAUUCCUUGUGUAGCGGUGAAAUGCGUAGAUAUAAGGAAGAACACCAGUGGCGAAGGCGGAUGACUGGACGGCAACUGACGGUGAGGCGCGAAAGCGUGGGGAGCAAACAGGAUUAGAUACCCGAGUAGUC
rnacentral:rRNA from 1 species